rnacentral:rRNA from 1 species
CCUACGGGGGGCACCAGUGGGGAAUAUUGCACAAUGGGCGCAAGCCUGAUGCAGCCAUGCCGCGUGUAUGAAGAAGGCCUUCGGGUUGUAAAGUACUUUCAGCGGGGAGGAAGGCGAUAAGGUUAAUAACCUUGUCGAUUGACGUUACCCGCAGAAGAAGCACCGGCUAACUCCGUGCCAGCAGCCGCGGUAAUACGGAGGGUGCAAGCGUUAAUCGGAAUGACUGGGCGUAAAGCGCACGCAGGCGGUUUGUUAAGUCAGAUGUGAAAUCCCCGAGCUUAACUUGGGAACUGCAUUUGAAACUGGCAAGCUAGAGUCUUGUAGAGGGGGGUAGAAUUCCAGGUGUAGCGGUGAAAUGCGUAGAGAUCUGAAGGAAUACCAGUGGCGAAGGCGGUCCCCUGGACAAAGACUGACGCUCAGAUGCGAAAGCGUGGGGAGCAAACAGGAUUAGAUACCCGAGUAGUC